CCAUUUCAAACUCUCUGUUCAGUGAGUGAGCACGUGGGUUAACGAAACCCCAAUCCUUACUCUCAGCUUCCUUUCCCCCUUUCUCUUCUCCCUUCCCUCUCCUCACGGCAGCCCUUCUCUUCUCCAUCACAGCCCCGCCAUCAUCGUCAGACCACCGCUGCCGCCCUCCUUCCGCCGGAAGCCACCAUCUUCCUCUUCCCUUUCUUCUUCUCCCUUCUCAGAAUCGCCACUAAUAGCCCCUGCUUCACCCUGAACCAUCCCUUCACCCACAACUGCCGGCGAGCUCUUCCCCCUGUCCGAACCCUAGCUCCGCCAACCAUCACCGUCAGCCUCGAACCAGAACCCACCGCGCCGUCGACGAGCCACCGCGACCCUCUUCCCUCUUCUCCCCUUCGCGUGCUCUCUGUCCUCCUCAGCCACACCAACCCUCUUUUCCUCUCUCUAUCUCACUCGCAAAACCACCGAACCCGAGCCCAAGACCACCGCUCCAGCAUCUCCGUCGCCACCGUCCACCACCGUCGCGGAACCACCCCUGCUUCUUCUCGUCUUCUCCCUCUCGACGCCUCACCUCCGCGAAUCACCGCUCGCGCCAGUGCCGCCGUCGAAGCCCAGCCGUUAACUCCUGUUCUGCCUCAGCUCCCUCACUGAACAGAACAGAAGCUCCAGCCCCUCUGUGCGACCCUGCUCCCUUCUCCAGCGCAGAGCCGAAUCAGAGACCACCAUGGCAGCCUUCUUCUCCCUUCCCGUCGUGUCCAGACCGCCGGCGCUCCACCAGCUGCAGCUGUCACUGCCGCUGCAACCCCUGCUCCCCUUGUUUCUAUGUUUUCCUUUUUCCUAUUCUACAAACAGGAUGAGUCAUCGUAAGCAACAAGAAAAGCAGAGGAAGCAAGGCAAUGGACAUGGAUGCGCAGGAUACCCGUAAUGAUGAGCAUGAUUAGUGAAACACCAGCCCCGUUUGGUCCUAGUUCGCGCACAAAGUACUGUGCGACAUUCAAGUGUAGAAAACAACCAAUCAUGUCCUUGUUCAGCCUGAGAAAGGGAUAACAUAUAGCCCUUUAACAACAAAAAGAAUGCCAACAUGUAGCCUUGAAUCAAAACAUCUUCCAACUCAGUCUAGUAGAGUUUCAAAUUGACCUAAACAUGCAUACAUAAACUUAAUUAAAGCAGAGUUUUUCCUAAAUUUGUAAACACCGACAUCAAAGCAACAACAAAAAGAGUUCAGUUUGAUAUCAUCUAAGUCAACAGCUACACAUCAGAGAUCAUGUCUGCCUCGGAGGUAUAAACCCAGGGGUAGGAAUGAACUUGAAAAGUCUUGCUGCAGUCCAGGAACUUGCUGCAUCCAUGGUCUCAGCAGAAAUAGCACUUCUGUUUGGUUGGAACACGGGGUCUAAGACCUGAUGUUGGAGAACCAGGUGGUGGAGUAGAUAGUCCAAAUGAAGGUGGAGCCGAUAUAGGAGCAAUCGGGGGACUAGCAAUAGGAUGUUUUCUUCUUUGGGCAUGAUUGAAAUUGGGGGUGGAGUUGGAUUGAGGAGGUGAUUGAUUCAGGUUAAAGGAGUCUGUUGCAACCUGUAACAAAAAAUCGAGUUAAUUGGGACACAGGUUGAAUAACAAUGACAAACCACUAUACCUCUUCUGCUCGGGGUGCAGUAUGUGAGAGGGGAAUUUCGUUUCUGUUCCUGAGAUUCCGAAUUACCCUUCUUUGGAUCUACCUCCAUUUCAUUUUGGGGCGAUGAGCUGGUCUCUUAAUAUUGGAUGAUUUUGUCCUUGGAGCAUCACAAGGGAUCCAAUACUCCUCUAAAUUAACAGGUUUGAUGUAAUCCAUAUAUGUUGCUUUAAUUGUUACAUGGUGAGCCAUUUAUGCACAUAUUCCUUUGGCCUGAGUCCAAUUUUACACUUUGCUGUAACUGUAUGACAGCAAGGCAUUCUUGAAAAUAAAUACAAUCCACCCAUGCAAUCCACAACGAAUUAAGUAUGAAUUAGAAAUCAGUGUCACAGUGAGACAAUAGAUACAAGAUAAAGUAAAACAUAAAUUAUCAUAAGAAUCAAAGUAUAAAUUAGAUAUGCCUUGGUCCAGCCCCAAUACUUGGUCCAAGACCCUCCAUUCCCUCAUUGCCUAAUCUAUCUCUUAAGAUAUGCCUUCUUUUAACACUAGAAUAUUUUUUAGAUGUCCUCUUUUUAGCAAUUCUUGGUGAUUGGCUUGGCCUACUACUAGAUGAACCACCCUUAUUCUCAUUUUUCUUAGGUGUUUGUUUUUUUGGGCACAUUACUCUUUUUCUUAGUUCUUUGAUUCUUAUCAGUACUUUUAUCUUCAGUUUCAUACCCAGCAGUCUCAUUACUCGUCUUUU